GAUGAACGCUGGCUACAGGCUUAACACAUGCAAGUCGAGGGGAAACGACGGGGAAGCUUGCUUCCCCGGGCGUCGACCGGCGCACGGGUGAGUAACGCGUAUCCAACCUGCCUCUGACUGAGGGAUAACCCGUCGAAAGUCGGCCUAAUACCUCAUGGCAUCGUCUGCGGGCAUCCAACGACGAUUAAAGAUUUCAUCGGUCAGAGAUGGGGAUGCGUCUGAUUAGCUUGUUGGCGGGGUAAAGGCCCACCAAGGCGACGAUCAGUAGGGGUUCUGAGAGGAAGGUCCCCCACAUUGGAACUGAGACACGGUCCAAACUCCUACGGGAGGCAGCAGUGAGGAAUAUUGGUCAAUGGGCGAGAGCCUGAACCAGCCAAGUAGCGUGCAGGAUGACGGCCCUAUGGGUUGUAAACUGCUUUUAUGCGGGGAUAAAGUGAGGGACGUGUCCUUCAUUGCAGGUACCGCAUGAAUAAGGACCGGCUAAUUCCGUG
rnacentral:rRNA from 1 species